UGGGGAAUAUUGCACAAUGGACGGAAGUCUGAUGCAGCAACGCCGCGUGCGGGAUGACGGCCUUCGGGUUGUAAACCGCUUUUUCUCAUGACGAAGUUUUUUGACGGUAGUGGGGGAAGAAGCACCGGCUAACUACGUGCCAUCAGCCGCGGUGAUACGUAGGGUGCGAGCGUUGUCCGGAAUUAUUGGGCGUAAAGAGCUUGUAGGCGGUUUGUCGCGUCGAUAGUGCAAACUCAGUGCUUAACGCUGAGCCUGCUGUUGAUACGGGCAGACUAGAGGAAGGUAGGGGAGAAUGGAAUUCCCGGUGGAGCGGUGGAAUGCGCAGAUAUCGGGAGGAACACCGGUGGCGAAGGCGGUUCUCUGGGCCUUUCCUGACGCUGAGAAGCGAAAGCGUGGGGAGCGAACAGG
rnacentral:rRNA from 1 species